rnacentral:rRNA from 1 species
AACGAACGCUGGCGGCAGGCCUAACACAUGCAAGUCGAGCGCCCCCGCAAGAGGGAGCGGCGGACGGGUGAGUAACGCGUGGGAAUUUUCCUCAAGGUACGGAACAACUCAGGGAAACUUGGGCUAAUACCGUAUGAUGUCUAGCGACCAAAGAUUUAUCGCCUUGGGAUAAGACCGCGUCAGAUUAGGUAGUUGGUGGGGUAACGGCCUACCAAGCCUGCGAUCUGUAGCUGGUCUGAGAGGACGAUCAGCCACACUGGGACUGAGACACGGCCCAGACUCCUACGGGAGGCAGCAGUGGGGAAUCUUGCGCAAUGGGCGAAAGCCUGACGCAGCCAUGCCGCGUGAAUGAUGAAGGUCUUAGGAUUGUAAAGUUCUUUCGCCCGUGACGAUGAUGACGGUAACGGGAGAAGAAGCCCCGGCUAACUUCGUGCCAGCCGCCGCAGUAAGAC